rnacentral:rRNA from 1 species
GACGUAGGUGGCGAGCGUUGUUCGGAAUCACUGGGCAUAAAGCGCACGUAGGCGGCCAAGUCAGUCAGGUGUGAAAUACCUCGGCUCAACCGAGGAACUGCGCCUGAUACUGCUUGGCUUGAGGUCCGGAGGGGAUGAGUGGAAUUCCCGGUGGAGCGGUGAAAUGCGUAGAGAUCGGGAAGAACGCCGGCGGCGAAAGCGAACUCUCUGGUCGGAAUCUGACGCUGAGGUGCGGAAAGCUAA